GCCCAGAAAAUUAUUACUUCCUCCAUCCUAUUUUAAGUGCAAGUCUUAUUUAAAAUUUUUUUAUAAUUAGUAUUUUUGUUAUUAUGAGAGGAUAAAAUAUGAAUAGCACUUUACUCGUGAUUUAUGUCUUUAAAUUUUUUUUAUAAGAUGGACGGUUAAAGUUGGAUACGGAAAAUCAUGACUGCACUUAUA
rnacentral:pre_miRNA from 1 species